GCUGAUCUCUUUCUCCCAUUUUUCUUUCCAGAAGGUUUCCAUCUUUUGGAUAAGUUCCAGUUUGAGAUCUUCCAGAGCUUGUUGAUAGUUUCCAUUUUGGGAGGCGUGUUCUGAAUUUUUUUGGAUUUCCUCUUCAUUCUCCUCUUUCCCUUGGGUACUUCCACCAUAAAAGUUUUCAAUAGUCACUUUUUUCCCUUUCUUCCUGGAGGCUUGAUUUUGGGCCAUGUGAGCCAUCCCUUUGGUGGUUUUAUUUCCCUUUCCUUUUUGGUCUGGGGUCUGGGUUAUAAGAGCGGUUUUUCUGUGAAUUUAGGUUGCUUCAGACUAGUUCUUCCCAGCCUCCGAGCCCAGGUAUUCAGCUCCGCCCAGAUAAUCAGCGCGCGUUGUUCAGCGCAGCCCGCCCCAAGUCCAGGUCCGCUGGAUUCUCCAGUGAAAGCACCCUGAGACGUUUUUUCCUGGCAGUCCCCAGAUCCUAAGGACCCUGGAGUGCCCCCCCAGACAGAGACGCUCCCCACUCACUCGCUGUCCUGGUGAGCGCUCAGGUAGCUCACUCUGGUUUAUUGGGGGAGGUGGGGUGGGGGAAGGGCGGCUCAGUUCACUUUUCUGUGCAAGCUUUUCCUUCUUAUUUUAGUGUGGAAAUGUUCAAGCCCCACGUACCUUUGCCUCUGUGGGGUACUGGGGAGUCCUUCUGUUCCUCCAAAGGUGAUUUUAUGCUCCUUUGAUGUAGUCUAUUUCGUUCGGUGCUGGGGAGAGGAAACGUGCGGCGUCUAGAUUGCAGCCAUGAUUACCCGGAAGUCGGUUCAUUCCUAAUUUCUACAAAACCGCUUUCCAGUUUUCUCAGUAUUUUUGGUUAAAUGCUGGGCUGUUCCCAGACACAAGAUCAGGAGAUGAGUGUCAAGACUUUGCAGACACCUCUUCCAGAAUCUUCGGUCUCCAUAUAUGCUGGCUUUGUCCCCAGGAAGAACAUUCUCUCAGCCUUCUUCCUGCCUCAGAGUGGAAUUGGGAUUACAUUAUUAUGCAGGAAAAAGUGACCCUCUCAGGCCCUAAUUGUGAGGUGGUAACUGCACUCCCUGCCAGAUGUGAAAAGAAUUCCAGAAAUUCCAUCUAUAGCUUCUGGGAUUCACCCCCUCUAUACCUCUGACAUACCAAGAUGAAGCUUCACUGAUUUUCAGGAGGGAAGGAAAUGGGAACCCCCAGAACACUACUCAAUAUCAGCAGGAAUUAGCUACUGAACACUGCCCUUUCUCCUCUUCCCCUGACUGAAAAGAAAAAGAAGGAAAUGAUAUGACUGUUCCCUUCAUACCUAGCAGCCAUCACAGGCUCUGUUCUGAGCAUAGUGAAGGGGGAAAUGGCAUCCUGUUUUUCUAGCUGGUCCCCCAAUGUUUUUGGAUCCCAAGACUGUGCCCUGAGCAUUUAGAGGGAGCUGAACCCAAAGCAGUGUCUGAACACUCUCAAUAAAAAUUCUUCCAAUUUCA
rnacentral:lncRNA from 1 species